AGGCUAUUCAAUGCCGCCGAGCUGUUAUUGUCAAAACCUAAGAGGAUUUAAACAUCUUGACGUCAAAUUGAGGGCACUGUAAUCAUUUGAGUGUUCAAAAUAAUAAUCAAUUUGUCAUCAUACCGAUGAGUUCAAACCACAUUGUGAAGAAAACUAUGGCAGUCCAUGGCAAUGAUCCAAUUAUUCCUUGCAGGACGAUGAUCUGAAACGUCCGCACCUUCAUUACAGAUCUUGUUGCUACCAAAGAAUCCCUCCAUAUAGAAGGAGGUGGAAGAACAUCUUUGCUGGCCAAAUGUAACCUGGGUGA
rnacentral:sRNA from 1 species